AAUAUAUAGUGAGUUAGUUGGGGUCCAGCAACUGAUCACAUCGUCAUCAACUAAACAAACCAUGGAAGAGAAACUGAAUCCACAAGGAAGCUAUAGGAGGAAAAAUAAAGAGAAACAUAAAGGCUAUAGAGGCUGUUUGCACUCCUAUGGUUAAGAAACAGCUUUAAUACAAAAAUAAAACUGACUUCAUUUCUACUGCAACCGCCCCUCCCACUCAGAACCCUCUGUACCAAAGAGUUAUGACUAUGAGACGUCAGCAAGAUGCAAAGCAGAGACCAAGAAGAAAUCCCAUGAGAAAUGAAAGUGACAAGCACGGAAAUAACUUCAUGAGUCAUACCACCCCCCAGGAUAAUCUGAAAGACACACAGCCUCUUUGGUACAGAGGGACAGCACCCUCAGUGAUUCCCCUCCUUUCCAUCCAUGGCAUGCCCAGCUAGCUCCACCAUGGGUCCACUGCCGUUAGCCUCCCUUCAUUGUGACUUGCAACCCCAGUUUGGCCACCAACCACUACUUGACCUUGGGGAUGUCAAUUAAUCCCUAAAUCCCUCCAUUUACCCAUCUAUAAAAUGGUUGCAAUUCUUGCCUAGGCCAUAGUCCUAAUCCCUCCACUCCACACCAGUCAGUAAAGCUUUCCCUGAAUUGGGGUUGCAGAGAAAGAGGGCACACUCCUAUCAGGGUAGCACAGUGGCCAUGAUCUGCAUGUACUCCUGGAGGUGAUGUGCAUUUUUGCAUCACUUCUUGCUUUUGAUUAUCUUCCCUGUUUAGUGGUAGUGACAGCAUUUUACUGUGUGGGUUACCUUUGUAGAAGUUGUAGGUUUUGAGUAGGGAUUAAAUUAAGGGAAGAUUGGUGCCUGGUAUGCUGAGAUGUAGGGAGAAGUUCUGGAUGUAGGGAACAGCAUGGGCUAAGGCCAAGGGUGGGAUGAGAGCAAAGGAGAUGUGAGAAGCCCAUUAUAAGGGCCUGACCAAAGCCCAUUAAGUCAAUGAACUCUUUCCAGUGACUCCAGUGGACUUUGGACAAGGCCUUAAAAUACCAGAAAUUUUAUGAUAAAAUCUGUUCUUAAGACUUCCAGCCCAGCUUGGGAUUCAGAUGAAGCGGGAUAUAAGAAUCUCAAUUCCGAGAGCUUAUUCAAACCUUGGUUUGCAGUAUUGUUGUAGCUGUGUUGGUCCCAGGAUAUUAGAGAGCCAAGGUGAGUGAGGUAAUAACUUUUAUUGGAACAACUUUUGUUGUUGAAAGAGACAAGCUCUGGAGUUUACACAGAGCUCUUCUUCAGGGCUCACCCACCUUGUCUAUUCAAACCUUUGUCAUGUACCCAUUGACUGUAUUGAUAAUAUAACACUUCCAGCAGAAGAGAAAGGGCUUUGUACAUAAAUUACAGCGCAACUCAACAGCCUUCAAUGAGUGUAGCAAACUGUUUGAAACACUUUCCAUUUAAAGGCAAAUGAAACAACUGAUCAAGGUACAGUUGGCUCUAUAUAUUUACUCAGGCAAAGCCUCCCACUGGCAUCCACUGGAGUAACAGCCACCAGAUCGUGCCUUUAUUAAGUAUAUCAGUCUCCAGAAUGAAAGGAUUGUUUAAAAUAAGUCAGUAUAAACCUGCCAACUUUUGCUAACAAUUGUUUCAUAAUUAGAUUUAUUUUCCUGGACUUUGCACCAUCACAAAUAGACAUCCAUAGGUCACUUGAUAAUAUUUUCUCUUUGCAAAAGAAAUAGAAAAAGAUGUUCCUCCUUUUGAAGUUGCAAUGGAAGUGACUUUUUCUUCAAUGAGGCUUAAAGCCCCAUUUCAAAGCAGAAUAUGAUGGCAUAAUAUUUUCUUUUUCCUUGCAAUCACAAAGUGAUUAAAAAAGAGGAGGCUCUGAACAGCAUGAGACUGGUGGAUAAAGUGCCUGUGAGAGCUCCACUCUCCAUAUCAGCAUUGUGUUCAACACUUCCUUGUCCACUGAUUCAACAAGAUCAGUUUCUCUGUACACAAAGGUACAGAAACACAGCAUGGAUAUGGAAUAAGCAAGGAAUACCAGGAAUGGAAAAUCUAACCUUCCCUGGUUAAGGGAUGUUGGCCCUUUAACAAAGACUUCCUUUACUGAAAAUGCAAAUAAGUCACUGAAGGACAAACAUUUUAUUGUGAAAUCUGGAUACAAAACAGCUCUACCUAGACCUUUAAUCAUAUUUGAGGAGUUGACCCAGGAGCAAGCUGGAACAAAAGGCAGUGUGGUUUUAGCUGGUCUCACUUCUGAGGAUCACAAAGACACAGAAAAGACAGAUGAUCCAGGCACUCCAAAGCUGCCCAGAUCUGCAUGCCACUAGCCUGUUGACUGCCAUGGUGCCUGUUGAAGUCAUCAGAGUGGCAUGGUGUCCUACUGUGGAGGAAGAAAUAAGACGUGCAUCCCUAGAAACUUUGGGAGAGGAUCACAGAGUAUCUCCAUGAAAGUUCAUCAAGAUUUCUCAGGAGGGUCUUAAGAAUCCAAUCAGGGGCAUGGACCAGAGACAUCUGCCUCAAUGCCAAUCCCAGCCCUCAUUCAGACCAAUUCGCUGGUAUAUCAAGAUCAUUUUGAACUCUAAUCCUCUCCUCUAAAGUGAUUGCAACCCCUCCCAGGUUGGUGUCAUCCGCAAAUUUUGAUCUCAAAGCACCUUACAAAGGUGGGUAAGUAAGUCUCAUCUCCAUUUGUAGAUGCAAAAAUGAAGUGCAAAAAAGUUAUGUCUCUUGCCCAUGGUCACUGGCAGAAGCAUAAAUAAGAUACAGGUCUCUCUACUCAAUCACAUUAUUAAUUUAUUUAUUAUUUCUGUAGAGACUAUAGAAAUAUAGUCAUGGGCCAGGAAUCCAUUGUGCUAGGCACUGUGCAAACUCUGAUUCCAUAUUUUACAUUUCUAUACCCCCUCCCUCAUUCACCACCGUACAAUAACCUCAUUCCUGAUCCCAAUGUUUUUCUGCAUUGUCCUAGGGUAAAAUCCUGGCCCCGUUAAAGUCAAUGGCAAAAUCCCAUUGAUUUCAAUGGAGUCAGAAUUUCACCCUUAGUACAUUAUGAUAUUACUAUUCCUCAUAAGACAUAAUUUUCUUUAUAAAGGAAUGGGUGGUUUUUUAUUUGUUUUCUUUUCUUUUUCCCUGGUUGAUAGUUGUUGGGUUAUUUUUUAAUUACACAGUAAAAUAUAUUUAUCUGUCUAACACAAUGGCUCUCAUUAGGUACCUGAUUUUUCCACCAAAACUCACAAGUCUUCAUUUCAAAUGUAUAGCACAAAUCUAAAGCCUGGAAACUAAUGUGGCAGGCAAUCAUUCCUAGUCAUACUUGACUGUUGUGGAUGAAUGAAUGAGCUUCAUAGAGCAAACGUAAACCAAAACCAAAUGAACAUAAAUAAGCUGUUUUCACCAGUUCCAGCCUAAAUCUAAAUUUAAACGUCCCUUCAACAAAAUAAAAAGCUUACAACUGAAGAAAAGAGACAUUUUAUUGUAUAAUAUGGGUCAGCAAAAUCAGAUAUCUUUAAAAAUGCACGUGGGAAACAAGCUGGCAAUUACUUUAUCACAGGGUGGGAUGCACAGUUUUAGUAGUCAGAAGUUAUAACAACAGAGGUGGUAUUCUGACAGAGCCAUAGGAGUGAAUGGUGACUACAACUAUUUAUAGCAAAUGGGAUAAACAAACACUUUUACUAUAACAGCAAACAGGGCUAUUUUGUAAAGAAAACACACUGAGGCAUGUUCCUAUUUAAGGAACGGUAUCUAAACCUGUGGGACAAUAAGAAUGGUGCAGGAAAAGAGAAGAAACCCAAAUGUCUGCUACAUGUUAAAUUACAUAUAAAUUAUAGGCUGGAGACUCAAAGAAAUUAUAGUGAGGAACAAUAUAUUCUUCUAAUUGGUUAAAUGAUUCUCCAGUAUAACAUAGGUUUAUAAAACAUGUACUGCAAAAAGACUGAAAUUCUAUUUAUGGGGAAAUUAUAAUG